AGUGGCGGACGGGUGAGUAACGCGUAAGAAUCUAACUUCAGGACGGGGACAGCAGUGGGAAACGACUGCUAAUACCCGAUGUGCCGCGAGGUGAAACCUAAUUGGCCUGAAGAAGAGCUUGCGUCUGAUUAGCUAGUUGGUGGGGUAAGAGCCUACCAAGGCGACGAUCAGUAGCUGGUCUGAGAGGAUGAGCAGCCACACUGGGACUGAGACACGGCCCAGACUCCUACGGGAGGCAGCAGUGGGGAAUUUUCCGCAAUGGGCGAAAGCCUGACGGAGCAACGCCGCGUGAGGGAGGAAGGUCUUUGGAUUGUAAACCUCUUUUCUCAAGGAAGAAGUUCUGACGGUACUUGAGGAAUCAGCCUCGGCUAACUCCGUGCCAGCAGCCGCGGUAAUACGGGGGAGGCAAGCGUUAUCCGGAAUUAUUGGGCGUAAAGCGUCCGCAGGUGGUCAGCCAAGUCUGCCGUCAAAUCAGGUUGCUUAACGACCUAAAGGCGGUGGAAACUGGCAGACUAGAGAGCAGUAGGGGUAGCAGGAAUUCCCAGUGUAGCGGUGAAAUGCGUAGAGAUUGGGAAGAACAUCGGUGGCGAAAGCGUGCUACUGGGCUGUAUCUGACACUCAGGGACGAAAGCUAGGGGAGCGAAAGGGAUUAGAUACCCCUGUAGUCCUAGCCGUAAACGAUGGAUACUAGGCGUGGCUU
rnacentral:rRNA from 1 species